GCAAUACAACCACCGAAAUUUGCAAGCGACAUCCCUCCAUCAUCUGAGCAACAUGUCGUUAUACUAGGAAUUUCUUCCGUCCAUCUACGCGCAAAAUACUGGUACUAUGUAAAUAUUGGUACCAGUUUCAGGGUUGCAUUUUGCAGCCGCAACUUCAGAGGAUUUGGUGCACUAAAGCUGAGAGCAAGGUUAAGUUUCACAUACGGCUCAUGAUUCAGAACUGAUUAUGGACUGGCCCCAUUCUCCUACAUGCCUGAUGCCACUUUGCCGAGAGGAUGGUGGAGAAAGGUCUUUGCCAGGGCACCUAAGAGAACGGCAAGAAGCGAUUGGAUUGGGCAUAUAUGCAGUGUGGCAUAUCUGGGAAAAGAGAAACAAUAGGAUUUUUCAGGAUAAAUCGGCAAACGUGGAGACUGUGAUUUCCCUCUUCUUGAAGGACGACAUUGAUGUCCUCUGGAGCGAGCGUGUUUGGAAGUUCUAAGUUGGAGGGUUAUAGAGUUGUUGCUUUUCCUUUUAUAUUUUCUGGAAGCUGUCUAAGCUGAUGUACAGUUUUCCACCUUCUCAAUGCAAAAGCAGAGCUCCUGCUUUUAUCCA